rnacentral:rRNA from 1 species
AGAGUUUGAUCCUGGCUCAGGACUAACGCUGACGGUGUGCUUAAUACAUGCAAGUCGAACGGGCGAUGAGAGAGUGGCAACACUUUCUCAAAGCUAGUGGCGAACGGGUGAGUAACGCGUGGGUAAUCUGCCUCGAAGAUUGGAAUAACUCCUUGAAAGAGGGGCUAAUACCAAAUGUGCUAUUUUUAUUGCAUGAUUUUAAUAGCAAAGGUAGCCGCAAGGCUUCUGCUUUGAGAUGAGCCCGCGUCCUACUAGCUUGUUGGUAGGGUAAAAGCCUACCAAGGCUAUGAUGGGUAGCCGGUCUGAGAGGAUGUUCGGUCACACUGGGACUGAGAUACGGCCCAGACUCCUACGGGAGGCAGCAGUAGGGAAUAUUGCGCAAUGGGCGAAAGCCUGACGCAGCGACACCGUGUGAAGGAUGAAGAUCUUCGGAUUGUAGACUUCUGUCAAUUGGGGACGAAGGUACUGGUGUUAAUAGCUCCCAGUAUUGACGGUACCCAAUAAGGAAGUCUCGGCUUACUCCGUGCCAGCAGCCGCGGUAAGACGGGGGAGGCAAGCGUUGUCCGGAAUUAUUGGGCGUAAAGAGCGCGUAGGUGGCUUAUCAAGUCAUUUGUG